rnacentral:lncRNA from 1 species
AAGGGCCCCGGCGUCGCUGCUUCCGUGCGGUCCGUCACAGCAUCUCCCGGGAGACACGGCCCGGCGCGCGCCCCGGGCCCGCGGAAGCCGCUUCUCGCUCAGUCUCUCGCCGGUCCCCUCAGGCCCCGGGUGCUCCUUCGCCCAAUCCCGGCUUCGAACUCGUCCCACCGCCCGCGCCGCGUCCUCCCCGCUGGCGACUCGACUUACUGGGCUGGCACCGCUCGGGCCGCGCUCUGCGCAUUACCCCGGGCGCACUGCCCGAACCCCACACACACAGCCUCUCCGCCCAGGGAAGGAUCGUGGCCAGGGCGGGGAUCCGAUCGCAGAUCGCGCUGCGGGGCUCGGACUUCUCGCGAGGGUUCCGGCCUCUGGCGCCGACUCCGCGGGAAUUUUCAAACUUUCCCUACUAGGCCUUUCGCAAAGGGAGAAAACCGAGACGACGCCGGGAAGAAAGAUUCAUUUACGUACAGCAGGGUCUCUCCGCCUCCUAGGAGCAGAUAGGCGAAAGACUACAAGUCCCAUAGGGCUUUGUGCGCUGGGCGUAGUGUAGGGCGUGUCCGGCUUUGCGGAGCAAGGGCCGGCCUAAUCUAGUGGCGGUUCCUGCUGGCAGCCAAGCGAUAAUCUUUCCGUCUAUGACUGCUGCUCUUGCCUCCGUUUUUUCCGUUCUGUGCUCCAACUCUUCAAGGAAACGCACACACACACACAAAACCCAGACUUACUGAGAAACUCUUACUCUCAUUUUUUUUUUUUUCUCAAAAAGCAGAGAGUUCAGGUCGCCUAGCCUAAUCUUUUGUCAUAUAUCUGACGCUGGGUAAUUCUGCUGGCAGAGCUUCGUGCUUGGCAUGCACGAAGCUGUAGGUUCCAUUAUGCCAAACCUAUGUUUUCUUUUCGAUUUGUUAGUAUUGAGAGACGAGGAGUUGGGCAGACCCUUAGUAGACAAACAGGGACAUGAGCCAUGGCGAAUUUCCAAGAUGGCCAGCUUUUUUUAACCUCCUGAUUUGAGACAAAAACCUGGCAAGCUUUUAUCAUCUACCUGCAGGUCACCUGCUGAUGGACUGGUUCAAUAAGUUCAAAGCCUGAUUAGAACACGUUACACAACUGUAGUGGACCGAUCAACCAUCCAUCCUUUCUGCCUUCAAACUGACCAACACUAAAGUAGGUCAGGGAGGUUUUAGAGGUUUUACAACCCCCAGGCCUCAAGAAGAGACUGGAUUUUUCAGCUUCUCAAAUCCCCUCUCUGUUUUGUAGAAGGUCUUUUUCUCUGUGUGUUUACUGCCUGCAAUAAACGCCUUUUUAACUGC